rnacentral:lncRNA from 1 species
GAAGGGACGGGCGGGGAGAAAAACCCCUUCUUUUAAAAAUUCUUGAUUUCCUUGACAUCGGCUUUCCUUUGGUGGGGGGGGGGGGUGGGUGGGGGGAUAGAUGGUGCGCGCGCGCGCGCUCGGGGAAUAAACACAUGUUAGAAGCCUCGGUAUUAUUUUCUGAGCUGAAAUCUGCAGCCUUUAGUAACUAGCAAAGUGUAGCGUCACCUACCUGGAUACGAGGGAAAUAAACUUAAAUGGCAACUUUGUGUACCGAAGUGUCCCUGGCUCCUUUUCUCUCCUUUUUGACUUUGUGCCACCAGCUCGUCUCUGCUCUUCCCACCCCCUGUCCCCCACGCGAGGCUUCCCCCGUUUUCCAUCGCGACCAUCGCAGACCCCGCCUCAUCGGAUCUAAAGUCAAGCUGUGCUUUGGGAAUGAGGGUGGCUGUUAAGCCAAGGGGGCCUCGCCAGGAUUAAGGUCGAGGCGGACUGGACGCAUCUGGAGAGGAGAAUCCUUGGCAUCUCAAAGGAGAAAAGGGGGCUGGUGCUGGGAUCUGGUGGGUCAUUAGCUCUUCUGCCCAAUCCACAUGCAUUUAGGGGCCUCCCCCUUCAAGGGGGAAAAGGAAACCGGUUCAGUGUGGAGUGAGGAGGCGGAAUGAUUUAAACAAGACAAACACCAGGAAAGUCUACGAGCAGAUGAAGCGCGCGGAGCAGGGGCGAGGGGGCCCGGGGGCCGGCGGCAGAUUCCCAAGCUCUGCCCGUCCGGGAUCGUGGAAACGCGGAGGAGGGAAGUGUGUGUGUGUGUGUGUGUGUGUGUGUGUAGUGCGCCAGGCAGCUGGCGAGUGUUUCCCAGUCUGCUACAGCAGUCGCACUCCGGGGGUGGCGGCUCCUCCUCCGGGGCUCGGGCCGGGAAGCCGGCCUUCCCCGUAACCCUCGCGCGGCCGCCCCCCGAGCCGCUCAGUUCGGUAUCUGCAGCAUCAGCGAGAAAAGCCCGGCGCGCAGGCUCAGUGCGCACCGCCGCAGUCUCCAGCCGGGGGCGGGGGCGGGAGCCGCAGCGCCAAGGCGGCCGGCUAAGUGGCAGGAACUCCGGAGCUCCCCUACGCGGUGCAGCAACACGGGUUUAUCCCAGGGCCCGUCUCCCGCCCCUCCGCCCCGACCUCGAUUCCUCCUUUCCGCCGGCCCGAAGUCAAAGGCGGUCGCCGGCGCCGUGCAUUCCGACGCGCGGCAAUAUGGUGCAAUGCACUCAACAGCCUUCGCCGCCUUUACUAAGAUUUUGCAAACUUCAGGCAGCCGUGCGGGCAGCGACGUUGUGCACUCCUGCGUCCCCUCCAGACGGUGAACUUGAACGAGCCCCUCCGCGUCUCUGGGCCUCUGCCCGCCGCUCGGGCGCGCACCGGCCAGGCGCACACUUGAUAGGCGGCUUCCCCUCCCCGCCCCCGGAGCGGAGCGCUGCCCACGUCUUCCCGGGUGACCAGGGGGUGCGGCCCGUCCUCACAGUGCAGCGGCUUCCUCUGCGAGCGGGAGGUAGCCUCCGGCCCGCCCUCCCCACCGUCUUCCCCACCAGCUCCGCCGCGGAGCCAAGCCAGCGUGGGAAAUGGGCCCGACGUGCGCUGCAUGGAGAGCAGCGCGGCCAGACAGCCGGGACCGUGCAGCCUCCCGGCUUUGCGCCCUCCCCCGCCUCCGACCUUUCCGCAGGAGCAGCCAAGUGGCGGCGCGGUUCUUGGCCCUCUCCUGCUGCAGACUGCAGUUAA